rnacentral:rRNA from 1 species
UACGUAGGUGGCAAGCGUUGUCCGGAUUUACUGGGCGUAAAGGGCGUGCAGGCGGUUUGUUAAGUGCAGCGUGAAAGCUCCCGGCUCAACUGGGAGAGGUCUUUGCAUACUGGCAAACUCGAGGGAGGCAGAGGAAAGUGGAAUUCCCGGUGUAGUGGUGAUAUGCGUAGAUAUCGGGAGGAACACCUGUGGCGAAGGCGGCUUUCUGGGCCUUACCUGACGCUGAGACGCGAAAGCGUGGGGAGCGAACCGG